GCCCGUGCGUCCGUGGCACGGAACGGCCGUUAGUCCCGGCAGAGGGCUCCGCGAAGACAGUGCCGUCGUUGGGCGCGCGCGCGGGCGGGAGCUGUCGGGGCGGGGCGGCACCGCCGAGCUCCGAGCUGCAGGACUUUGAAAUGACCCUGUCCUCAGCCUGGAGGAUGCGGUAUUCUGAUUGUCUGGUGCUGUGUCAACUGGGCCUGCCUCUGGGAUAGUGUUGUGGCUGCCCCACGAGAACCCUAUAUGCCAGUUCCAGAAGCAAAAACAAAAAAAGUUCGGGUACAGCGGCUCACACCUGUAAUCCCAGCUCUUAGGGAGAUGGAAACUGGAGGAUCACUUGAGGCCAGGAGUUCAAGACCAGCCUGGGCAACAUAGCAAGACCCAGUCUCUUAAAAGAAAAUUAAAAAGAAAGAGUAAAUAAAGUUCCAGAAGCUUUGCUCUCCUUAUCCAAGCAGCGUUUGUACUUUGGCACUGGAAAGUGCGGGAGUCAGGGGUUUGUGAGAGCACGUGUUGGUUGUCGCAUUGGUCAGGAUGCACCCAUCACUCUGUAUCCUCCGGCUAAGGAGUGCUGGAGAGCCGUGAUGCCCACUGGCUGUUGUCCCGGGCUUGUCACUCAAAGACGGGACAGAUGUCUCCUUCCAGUUCUGGCCCAGACUGUCCUCUGAGCUGGGAGCACAGGGCUCCUCCCUGAGUAGAUGACCUGUCAGGUCAGCUGGAUCCAGAGGUCCCACAACCUCUCAAGGCAGAGCUGGCAGCUGUCCAGAAGGCAGCAGCCAUGAUAACAAACGUGGUUGGCCCAGGCCCAGACCUGCCCCCUGGCAACAGAGAACAGCAGGACUGGCUUUGACAUUGUUUUAGGGAGCCAGGCACCCUUCCCAGUCAGGGCAGAAGCCCCCUGGAGAGCUGGGCUCCUGACCUCACCGGCCUCCACCUCCUGAAGGCUCUGGCCAAAUCCACAUGUGACCUCAGGAAGGGAACACCCUCAGGAGUCCAAAGCCCCUGUUCCCCUGCUCGGUUGGCCACAGUCACUCUCCUGCCUCGGGGUUGUGUCUGUAGCAGGCUCUCUUGGGCAGCAGGGGUCAGGAGCACGGAGGGCAGACCCAAGACGGACCAGGCAUCUCUGGGGAGGCGACAUCCCCUCCCACCGGCAGCCCAGAGACAGGAGCUCCCCAGCAGUGCCCCUCAAGGCCAGAUUCGCAAGUAGGUGCCCGUGGAGCAAACAGAGAAAAGCGGGAACACGCGCUCCUGGAAGUUGACGCGGAAGGUGUAGAGGUGGCGCAUGUCCUCCACAGCGUAGAAGGACACGGCUCCCACCUCCAGGUCCAGGGCCACCCGCACGCGCGACAGGUGCCCGCAGCUGAGGGGCGACCGCUCGGGGCUGGUCACGGCCCAGUACUGGCCGCCGUUGAGCUGCAGGGCCCAGACGCCCUCCUCGGGAGUGAAGGGCGUCAGGCCCUUUCGGCGCACGCUCUCGCGGGCCACGCCAAAGGCCCAGCCGUCCUUAGAGCCCACCUCCACCUCCCAGUGAUGCCGGCCCGAGGAGAAGCCGCAGGACGCCAGGACGCGGGUGUUGGUGUCGAAGCGGCAGGGGUGGUUGGGCAGGUCCUGGGCCCGCUCGCCGAGGCGCACGCCCUUAAGAUCCAGAGAGAGGAUGAGGCGCGGGUUGGCCGUGUCGGGAUCCAAGGUGAGCUCCACUGCAGACAGAGACAGGGAGAAAUGUCCCCACGCAGCCAGGCCCCUGGCACAGUCUUUGCAGGGCCGCGCCCGACCUUGCUUUGCAACCUGCCUGCCUUUCCCUCUAGAAUCCCCCCAGCACCCAGCGCCAAGGCCCAACCAACCCCCACGCUCUGCCUCCCAGAGAUUUUGCUUCCCCCCGCCCCGACCACUCAACAAGUACUUACUGAAAUCAAACAAAUGCAAUGUGUGGGCCUGGUUUGAACCCCAAUUCAACAGAUGGGGAUAUUUGAAUGCUAGACAUUGGAAAGAAUCAUUAAUCUGUCCAGGUGUGAGGACUGCUUUGUGGUUAUGUUUUACAAAGUCUGUUUCUUUAGAGAUAACACACUGAGGUAUUUAUGGCAAUGAUAUGUUGUCUCUGAUGCUUUAAAAUAAUACAGUAGGCCAGGCGCAGUGGCUCACGCCAGUAAUUCCAGCACUUUGGGAGGCCAAGGUGUGUGGAUCACGAGGUCGGGAAAUCAAGAACAUCCUGGCUAACAUGGUGAAACCCCGUCUCUACUAAAAAUAAAAAAAUAAAAUAAAUUAGCCGGGCGUGGUGGCGGGCGCCUGUAGUCCCAGCUACUCGGGAGGCUGAGGCAGGAGAAUGGCAUGAACCCGGGAGGUGGAGAUUGCAGUGAGCUGAGAUCACGCCACUGCACUCCAGCCUGGGCGACAGAGCAAGACUCUGUCUCAAAAAUAAAAAUAAUAAUAACAAUAAUACAGUGGAGGCCGGGUGAGAUGGUGCACAGCUGCGAUACCAGCACUUUGGGAGGCCAAGGCCAAUGGGUCACAUGAGGUCAGAAGUUUGGGACCAGCUUGGGCAACAUGGCGGAAAACUUGUUUUGUAUUUUCUCUACUAAAAAUACAAAAAUUAGCCCGGCAUGGUGUCCUGUGCCUGUAAUUCCAGCUGUUUGGGAGGCUGAGGCAUGAGAAUCGCUUGAACCCAGGAGGCAGAGGUUGCAGUGAGCAGAGAUCAGGCCACUGUACUCCAUGAUCUCACUCCAGAGUAAGACCCUGUCUCAGAAAACAAAAUAAUCCCACAGGAAGUGGAUAGCAGUGUCUAUGAAAACUGUGGCCACUAAUUGAUCACUGCGGACGGUGAGAGAUGGGUAUGUAACAUUCUUUACACUCUUCUCUCUACUUUUGAGUAUGUUUGAAAUUUUUCAUAAUAAAAAGUUAAGGCCA
rnacentral:lncRNA from 1 species